rnacentral:rRNA from 2 species
CCCCGGUAAACGGCGGCCGUAACUAUAACGGUCCUAAGGUAGCGAAAUUCCUUGUCGGGUAAGUUCCGACCUGCACGAAUGGCGUAAUGAUGGCCAGGCUGUCUCCACCCGAGACUCAGUGAAAUUGAACUCGCUGUGAAGAUGCAGUGUACCCGCGGCAAGACGGAAAGACCCCGUGAACCUUUACUAUAGCUUGACACUGAACAUUGAGCCUUGAUGUGUAGGAUAGGUGGGAGGCUUUGAAGUGUGGACGCCAGUCUGCAUGGAGCCGACCUUGAAAUACCACCCUUUAAUGUUUGAUGUUCUAACGUGGACCCGUAAUCCGGGUUGCGGACAGUGUCUGGUGGGUAGUUUGACUGGGGCGGUCUCCUCCUAAAGAGUAACGGAGGAGCACGAAGGUUGGCUAAUCCUGGUCGGACAUCAGGAGGUUAGUGCAAUGGCAUAAGCCAGCUUGACUGCGAGCGUGACGGCGCGAGCAGGUGCGAAAGCAGGUCAUAGUGAUCCGGUGGUUCUGAAUGGAAGGGCCAUCGCUCAACGGAUAAAAGGUACUCCGGGGAUAACAGGCUGAUACCGCCCAAGAGUUCAUAUCGACGGCGGUGUUUGGCACCUCGAUGUCGGCUCAUCACAUCCUGGGGCUGAAGUAGGUCCCAAGGGUAUGGCUGUUCGCCAUUUAAAGUGGUACGCGAGCUGGGUUUAGAACGUCGUGAGACAGUUCGGUCCCUAUCUGCCGUGGGCGCUGGAGAACUGAGGGGGGCUGCUCCUAGUACGAGAGGACCGGAGUGGACGCAUCACUGGUGUUCGGGUUGUCAUGCCAAUGGCACUGCCCGGUAGCUAAAUGCGGAAGAGAUAAGUGCUGAAAGCAUCUAAGCACGAAACUUGCCCCGAGAUGAGUUCUCCCUGAGACUUAGAGUCUCCUGAAGGAACGUUGAAGACGACGACGUUGAUAGGCCGGGUG